rnacentral:lncRNA from 10 species
AGUUUGGUGGUGACAGAGGCAGAGCUUCUCAGGCUUCCCAACUUUGUUGCUAUUAGCUGCCUAAUGGGCAAGCCACUUCACCACCCUGUCAUUUACUGACUGACUGAUCUCUAGUUUUAAGGUCUCGAACUCCUGAGCUCAAGGGAUCCACCUACCUCGGUUUCUCAAAAUGCUGGGAUAACAGGCGUGAGCCACUGUGCCCAGCCCCAAUGUGCUGCAUUUCAGGAGCAGAGUGUGAUUAAGAAAGAUGGAUGGCGGGUAAUAUCCGUUACCAACACCUGUACCGUGCUCAGGGAUCUAUUUGGCAGAAAGGGGCUAUGUAAGAGCAAGAUCAUUACCAUUUGAGCUAGAAAACAAAAUGUGGUGGAGGUGGUGAAGGAUGGGCGGAAAUGGGAGGGAAUGGAGGAUGACAGAAGGCGGGAGGUAAGGUGCUGCAGGAAAAUCCUAUGCUGCAGGACGUGGGUCCGAAGCCUCCUGGGCCUCAAAUUCCCCCUAGUAAGAUGCUGACAGCCUUAGAGGUUCU